rnacentral:tRNA from 1 species
UCCCUGGUGGCUCAAUGGUAAAGAAUCUGCCUGCCUAAGCAGGAGACCCAGGUUCGAUCCCUGGGUGGGGAA